GAUUGGAACCAGAAAACGAACUGAAGGGAAGAGGGUGGAGAAGAAGGACGGCGGGAGAGACGCGGCCGAGAGAGAAGGUGGAUGGAUGUUGGAAAGUUCUAUGAUGUUAACGUACUAAAUUUUGUAAUAGUGUUCUUAUAUGUUAUGUUUCGUCCUACGUCAAUUAAAUGUUAUCAAAAAAUUUAAAUAUGGUGUCAGGCCAAUUAUUUUCGUUUACAUUUAUUUACUAAAAGGGCAGUCUUUGCCUUAUUAAUUUUUCUGAUGAGAAAUAAGAAUUAAUAAAAAAGCUCGGCAGCGCCGACAUCUUGGUGGCAGCGAACGGGAUCUGGUUUAAUGAAGGUGUCUAUUAUCUUUUCUUUUAAUCCAGAAGGAAAUCGAGUUAACCCACCGAAUCCAGGUAUGUAAUGAAGGAAGUUACGGCAGUAGCUAAAGGAACUCAGGAAUCAGAGAAAAACUUUUGCCGUUUGAAGACCAGUUUUUCUCUUAGGGGCGGCGUGUGAGGGCGCUGCGGAUGAUUGGAACCAGAAAACGAACUGAAGGGAAGAGGGUGGAGAAGAAGGACGGCGGGAGAGACGCGGCCGAGAGAGAAGGUGGAUGGAUGUUGGAAAGUUCUAUGAUGUUAACGUACUAAAUUUUGUAAUAGUGUUCUUAUAUGUUAUGUUUCGUCCUACGUCAAUUAAAUGUUAUCAAAAAAUUUAAA